GAUAAACUCCGAAUGCCAUGUACUUAUACUCGGGAGUCAGACUGCGAGUGAUAAGAUCCGUAGUCGAAAGGGAAACAGCCCAGACCACCAGUUAAGGUCCCCAAAUAUAUGUUAAGUGGAAAAGGAUGUGGGGUUGCUUAGACAACCAGGAUGUUGGCUUAGAAGCAGCCACCAUUGAAAGAGUGCGUAAUAGCUCACUGGUCGAGUGACCCCGCGCCGAAAAUGUACCGGGGCUAAACAUAUUACCGAAACUGUGGAUGAACCUCUUUAGAGGUUCGUGGUAGGAGAGCGUUCUAAGGGCGGUGAAGUCAGACCGGAAGGACUGGUGGAGCGCUUAGAAGUGAGAAUGCCGGUAUGAGUAGCGAAAGAAGGGUGAGAAUCCCUUCCACCGAAUAUCUAAGGUUUCCUGAGGAAGGCUCGUCCGCUCAGGGUUAGUCGGGACCUAAGCCGAGGCCGAUAGGCGUAGGCGAUGGACAACAGGUAGAGAUUCCUGUACCAGUGCUAAUUGUUUAACCGAUGGGGUGACACAGAAGGAUAGGGAAUCGCACGAAUGGAAAUGUGCGUCCAAGCAGUGAGUGUGAGAAGUAGGCAAAUCCGCUUCUCGCGAAGCAUGAGCUGUGAUGGGGAAGGAAAUUAAGUACGGAAGUUCCUGAUUUCACGCUGUCAAGAAAAGCCUCUAGGAAGAGUAGUACUGCCCGUACCGCAAACCGACACAGGUAGAUGAGGAGAGAAUCCUAAGGUGAGCGAGAGAACUCUCGUUAAGGAACUCGGCAAAAUGACCCCGUAACUUCGGGAGAAGGGGUGCUCUAUUAGGGUGCAAGCCCGAGAGAGCCGCAGUGAAUAGGCCCAGGCGACUGUUUAGCAAAAACACAGGUCUCUGCAAAACCGUAAGGUGACGUAUAGGGGCUGACGCCUGCCCGGUGCUGGAAGGUUAAGAGGAGUGCUUAGCUUCGGCGAAGGUACGAAUUGAAGCCCCAGUAAACGGCGGCCGUAACUAUAACGGUCCUAAGGUAGCGAAAUUCCUUGUCGGGUAAGUUCCGACCCGCACGAAAGGCGCAACGAUCUGGGCACUGUCUCAACGAGAGACUCGGUGAAAUUAUAGUACCUGUGAAGAUGCAGGUUACCCGCGACAGGACGGAAAGACCCCGUGGAGCUUUACUGCAACCUGAUAUGGAAUGUUUGUACCGCUUGUACAGGAUAGGUAGGAGCCGAAGAGACGUGUGCGCUAGCAUACGAGGAGGCAAUGGUGGGAUACUACCCUGGCUGUAUGACCAUUCUAACCCGCCACGCUUAGCGCGUGGGGAGACAGUGUCAGGUGGGCAGUUUGACUGGGGCGGUCGCCUCCUAAAGAGUAACGGAGGCGCCCAAAGGUUCCCUCAGAAUGGAUGGAAAUCAUUCGCAGAGUGUAAAGGCACAAGGGAGCUUGACUGCGAGACUGACAAGUCGAGCAGGGACGAAAGUCGGGCUUAGUGAUCCGGUGGUUCCGCAUGGAAGGGCCAUCGCUCAACGGAUAAAAGCUACCCCGGGGAUAACAGGCUUAUCUCCCCCAAGAGUCCACAUCGACGGGGAGGUUUGGCACCUCGAUGUCGGCUCGUCGCAUCCUGGGGCUGUAGUCGGUCCCAAGGGUUGGGCUGUUCGCCCAUUAAAGCGGCACGCGAGCUGGGUUCAGAACGUCGUGAGACAGUUCGGUCCCUAUCCGUCGCGGGCGCAGGAAAUUUGAGAGGAGCUGUCCUUAGUACGAGAGGACCGGGAUGGACACACCGCUGGUGUACCAGUUGUUCCGCCAGGAGCAUCGCUGGGUAGCUAUGUGUGGCAGGGAUAAACGCUGAAAGCAUCUAAGCGUGAAGCCCCCCUCAAGAUGAGAUUUCCCAUUUCUUCGGAAAGUAAGAUCCCUGAAAGAUGAUCAGGUAGAUAGGUUUGGAGUGGAAGUGUAGCGAUACAUGGAGCGGACAAAUACUAAUCGAUCGAGGACUUAACCAA
rnacentral:rRNA from 1 species